rnacentral:rRNA from 1 species
AGGACGAACGCUGGCGGCGUGCUUAACACAUGCAAGUCGAGCGGUAAGGCCUUUCGGGGUACACGAGCGGCGAACGGGUGAGUAACACGUGGGUGAUCUGCCCUGCACUCUGGGAUAAGCCUGGGAAACUGGGUCUAAUACCGGAUAUGACCUGCUCUCGCAUGGGGGUGGGUGGAAAGAUUUAUCGGUGCAGGAUGGGCCCGCGGCCUAUCAGCUUGUUGGUGGGGUAAUGGCCUACCAAGGCGACGACGGGUAGCCGACCUGAGAGGGUGACCGGCCACACUGGGACUGAGACACGGCCCAGACUCCUACGGGAGGCAGCAGUGGGAAUAUGCACAAUGGGCGAAAGCCUGAUGCAGCGACGCCGCGUGAGGAUGAAGGCCUUCGGGUUGUAAACCUCUUUCAGCAGGACGAAGCGCAAGUGACGGUACCUGCAGAAGAAGCACCGGCUAACUACGUGCCAGCACGCCGC